UGGGGAAUAUUGGACAAUGGGCGAAAGCCUGAUCCAGCCAUGCCGCGUGUGUGAAGAAGGUCUUCGGAUUGUAAAGCACUUUAAGUUGGGAGGAAGGGCAGUAAGCGAAUACCUUGCUGUUUUGACGUUACCGACAGAAUAAGCACCGGCUAACUCUGUGCCAGCACCCGCUGUAAUACAGAGGGUGCAAGCGUUAAUCGGAAUUACUGGGCGUAAAGCGCGCGUAGGUGGUUCGUUAAGUUGAAUGUGAAAGCCCCGGGCUCAAACUGGGAACUGCAUCCAAAACUGGCGAGCUAGAGUAGGGCAGAGGGUGGUGGAAUUUCCUGUGUAGCGGUGAAAUGCGUAGAUAUAGGAAGGAACACCAGUGGCGAAGGCGACCACCUGGGCUCAUACUGACACUGAGGUGCGAAAGCGUGGGGAGCAAACAGG
rnacentral:rRNA from 1 species